CUUAUACUAUCCACCAUUCAAUAAGACCGGUAUUUAAACAAGAACCUGCAUUACAUAGUCUCUAGUGGGGACCAAAUAAGAUACGUGAUACCAGGCUACCCCCAAUUGCCCUGCGCUAGGGUCUACCCACCAAGCCUUGCUUAGGCAAGCGUCCUAACCUAUACGUCCUUUUCACACACGACGAUACUGAGUUAUUAUGUCGGAUUCCCCUUCACAAAGCCAAGACUUCCAGGCGAUGAUUAACGCUGCCGUGGUAGCAUCCAUGGAGAAGGUGAUAACUAAAAUGCUAACGCAAGUUCUGCAUGAACCUACUACACAAGCUAUGGGGCCGAAACCGCAUGACACGGA